GACGUAGGGGGCCAGCGUUGCUCGGAAUUACUGGGUGUAAAGGGUUCGUAGGCGGUGUGGCAAGUCGGGAGUGAAAUCUCUGGGCUCAACCCAGAGUCUGCUUCCGAAACUGCUGUGCUUGAGUGUGGGAGAGGCGCGUGGAAUUGCAGGUGUAGCGGUGAAAUGCGUAGAUAUCGUGAGGAACACCAGAGGCGAAGGCGGUUACCUGGACAGUUACUGACGCUCAGGCACGAAAGCAUGGGGAGCAAAAGGG
rnacentral:rRNA from 1 species